ACAAGUGGUCAUAUACACGUUAUAUACGAGUGCUUGACCAAGUAAGCUACAAACCCGUUGUUUCCAUCGUAGAGACCGGUCAUGUCUUUCCCAACGUCCAAUACAAGUGGCCUGACCCUUAAGCAAAAAGACUUGGUCCUCAAGCUUCGAUCCGAUCAUGGCAUUCACAUAAUCGAAACGAAUCCCCACACGCUUCAGGAUAAAAAAAACGUAAAAAUAUUUUUCAAGUUACCCCUGGGUGUGCAGGACAAUACAACCCAGACAAUAGUCAUCCAGUAUCCUACAAGAUCAACUUCGCUCAUAGGUAUUCCCUCGAGGUUCUGCUGCACAGAUCCGGUCAUUCGUCUUUCACCUGGUCACCAACCUAUGUUAGUCAUGACGAAAGCGCAUGCGCUGCUCUCUUUCCCUUGUACAUAACCUCUCCUAUAUAUAAAGCUUGUUCUUGUCACCAAAUCCUAGUCCGUCGAAGGCAGCGCUGCCUGCCGAAACGUCGACCCACGUCCCUAAGUGUUAAUAAACACCCGUUUGUAUUUUCCUGUAAGCUCUUUGUCUUCUUCUGAUUUUUCCCGUAUAUAUAUGCAUAUAUGCAUCUUUACAUGUGCCGCUUCCACUUUCCGGAAACUUUAAGCUGCUGGGG